rnacentral:rRNA from 1 species
GACGAACGCUGGCGGCGUGCUUAACACAUGCAAGUCGAACGGAAAGGCCCUGCUUUUGUGGGGUGCUCGAGUGGCGAACGGGUGAGUAACACGUGAGUAACCUGCCCUUGACUUUGGGAUAACUUCAGGAAACUGGGGCUAAUACCGGAUAGGAGCUCCUGCUGCAUGGUGGGGGUUGGAAAGUUUCGGCGGUGGGGGAUGGACUCGCGGCUUAUCAGCUUGUUGGUGGGGUAGUGGCUUACCAAGGCUUUGACGGGUAGCCGGCCUGAGAGGGUGACCGGCCACAUGGGGACUGAGAUACGGCCCAGACUCGUACGGGAGGCAGCAGUGGGGAAUAUUGCACAAUGGGCGGAAGCCUGAUGCAGCAACGCCGCGUGCGGGAUGACGGCCUUCGGGUUGUAAACCGCUUUCGCCUGUGACGAAGCGUGAGUGACGGUAAUGGGUAAAGAAGCACCGGCUAACUACGUG